ensembl:lncRNA
AGAUACAAUCCUUGUAUUUUGAAAUAAAUAUUGCCUCUGCAAUCUAUACUGUGUAGGGCCUCCUUCUUUCCUCCUUCUCUUCCCGCCUAGUUAUCACUUAAAGAUGUAUGGAAUGUUUAAAACCUUAAGCCAGGCCUUGGGAAAACAGUGAGUCCUUUACUCUUUCCUAGUAGCAUCCUUGGGUCAGUUGCUCCAUUCAACUUACCACCUUUACCAGUAUGAUUUCUCAUUGUUUCCACACUUUAAAGUGUGACUAUUACUUUUGCCCAUUGUAAAGCAGGGGUAGUGUUAUUUUUAAUGUCUUAAUUUACUAGAAGUGUCCUUUGGCCCUUGCUCCCCACAUCUUACCCACUUUUUUCUUUUUUGGUAAGGACUCUCAGGUUGGCCUUUCUGUACCUUUCUCUGACUCCCAGGACCUUUCUCCUGUGCCAUGGUGCCAUGGCACAUAGUAAAAUUCUACACAGGGGAAAAGCACAAGCAUUAAACCAAGUCUCUUAAACAUAUGUGUAUGUCUCUUGCACUAAAACCACCUAAAUCCUUUAGGGAAUAUGGGCAAAGCCAUGGGGUAAAUGCAGUCACUCAUUAUAAACAAAAGCAGCUACAUCAAUGCAAGAAAAGACCUCAUAGAUACACGUAUAUGACAUAGUACAGAGGCUAAAAACUUAGACUUUGAAGCCAACCAAAUCUAGGUUCAAAUCCCAGCCCUCCCAUGUAACAUCUGAGUUGCCUCAACUUCAUUAUCUGUAAAUUGGUACUAAAAUGAUACCUAUGUCAUAAAUACAUUACACCUGCCAGCAUGGUCUUAGGUCAUCACCUAUUAAAUGAAACAUUUUGGCUAGAAGAUCAGCACAUUUCUUCCAGCUCUAAAUUAUCCUGUGAUUUUGUUACCAUAUAUGUUCCUCUAUUUCUUCUCUUCAUUCCCUCCUUAGAUUUGUAAAAGAAAGGGAAUUAACUAUCAUUGUCGAUGACCAGUCUUUUAGGUUUGCCACUGAUUGACAGUUCCCUUUCCCUAAACUCUGAUUUCCCAUGGGCACAUACACAAGUACUAGUGAUAGCCCAACAACAUCUCUCAAAGCUGCUAAACUGCUUUCUUUUGGAUGGGGUACUCUUAGAUCAAAGAUUAGGUUGAAUAUUGUUUUCGGUAUUUCAGAAACACUGGUUUCUAGUCUUCCAGGUGAUAAAGCAUCAGACAAGAGAAUUGUGACUAUCUUCAGCAAUGGUUUAAACCCCACAAGAAGACUAUGAUUACUUCUAGGUUAUUCCCCUUAAAAAUGUGGAUAUUUUUGAAGAGAACUCAAAACAGAAUCAAACAGUUGUGGGGAAAGACCAUCUAAAAACUUUUUUUUUUUUUUUUUUUUUAAGACAGAGUCUCACUCUGUUUCCAGGCUGGAGUGCAAUGGCGUGAUCUUGGCUCACUGCAACCUCCACCUCCCGGGUUCAAGCAAUUCCCCUGCCUCAGUCUCCCAAGUAGGUGGGACUACAGGUGUGCACCACCACACCCAGCUAAUUUUUUGUGUUUUAGUAGAGACGGGGUUUCACCAUGUUGGCCAGGAUGAUCUCAAUCUCCUGACCUCAUGAUCCACCCACCUUGGCCUCCCAAAAUGCUGGGAUUACAGGUAUGAACCACUGCACCUGGCCCAUCUAAAAGCUUUUCAAAAACUAAGAUCAGCUAGGCACAGUGGCUCAUACCUGUAAUCUCAGCACUUUGGGAGGCCAAGGCAGGCAGAUCACCUGAGAUCAGGAGUUCAAGACCAGCCUGGCCAACAUGGUGAAACCCCAUCUCUACUAAAAUUACAAAAAUUAGCUAGGUGUGGUGGCGCACAACUGUAGUCCCAGCUACUCAGGAGGCUGAGGCAGGAGAAUCACUUGAGCCCAGGAGGCAGAGGUUGCAGUGAGCUGAGAUUGCGCCACCGCACUGCAGCCUGAAUGACAAGAGCAAAACUCCAUCUCAAAAAAAAAAGAGAGAAAAGCUAGGCACAGUGGCUCACUCCUGUAAUCCCAGCACUUUGGGAGGCCAAGGCAGGUUGAUCACAAGGUCAGGAGAUCGAGACCAUCCUGGCUAACAUGGUGAAACUCCGUCUCUACUAAAAAUACAAAAAAUUAGCUGGGCGCGGUGGCAUGCACCUGUAGUCCCAGCUAUUCGGGAGGCUGAGGCAGGACAAUCGCUUGAACCCGGGAAGCAGAGGCUG